AUCCCACGCCGCGCGACCUUCCUGGCGAUAGCCGGCCCGAGACGGCGGCGCCCAGCCCACGAUCCUGCGAAGCGAACCCUGGCCAGGCCAGGUCAUGGACUCAUGGCUCUCUCUCUCUCGCGGAGCGGAGAUCGGCUCAGCACGUUGGAGUGGAGAAACGCAGCAGCACGUCAUCAUCCUGCUCAUCGUCGUCGAGCGUUGCUGCGUAUUGAUUACAAAUAGCUUUUUUUUAGUCAUGUGGUGUGUUGCUUUGGGUGCCUACCUGCUGCUUGUUUGAUGAAAUGUCCAGGCAAGCUAUGUUACACCGAAAUAGAAGUUGCUAUUGCUUUUAAUUGAUGGACUUUGAUUGUUCUUGUUCCACUGUUAGGGUACUGCAUAGGAUGCAAAAAUUGUGCCAAUUGGUUUUAGUUCCUUUCGCAUCGUUGACAGCUAAUAUUGUUUCUCCUUCGAGCAUAAAGCAUGGAUAUUUUUGUGUAGGGAAUAUGAGGUGUAAUCCCCUAUUAGUUGUGUGGCAUACAUGAGAUUUUCAUUAAGGCUUAGACCAAUUUUGACACAUGGUGUCUGUGCAUGGUGACAGCGGCGUACGGCAGCGAGCGGCGGUGCCAAGGUGAGGUGGCCGCACUGAGGGGUUCUAAUGGUACCCAGGUAGGGGCUUCUGCAAUUUCCCUAAGACUGGCAAGAUGGUUCUCAUAAACUAAUUUGAACCAGCCCACAAGUAGAUUAUCUGGCUGGAUUUGGAGGCUGUGGCCCUUUCCGCGCCCCCGGCGACGCUUCUACCUGGCAUCCCGUCACUACUUUUUUCUCUACCUUUUUCGCAAGAAGUUGGAUAGACUAAAAAACAUUUACUCUACUUUUUUCUUUGGCAAGAACAUGAACUGAAAUUUUGCUAGGAUAUGUGUGAAUGGCUGAACGCUAUCAGAAUAGGGAAUAUUGAAGUACUCUUUCUGACAUAGUAUCAACUCUUGGAUUAGUAUGAUGUUGGGCAUUUAUAUGCACGCCAAGAACAUCUGACAUAUCAUCACACCCCACAUGAACAAUUUAUGUUGCCGCCAGAUUCCUACGACCUGACGCUGGCCUCGAGGUCCUCCACCUGCAGGUUUCGGCAGCAGCUCAUCCCUAAGUUUCCUCUGCUUCCCGUCGUCGCCACCCCUCGCCGUCGAAGCUCCCGCGGCAGCCCCUCUCUACUGCACGAAGGGACAUCAGCAGCACGUCUCCAGCUCUUGGUUGGCGGCCCUCAAUCUUGGAUGACUCGCUGGUGAGCCAUCCGCCGGCUCAAGGUUCCCUUCUAUCCUUUCCCAAUCUUAUUUCUGUUGUUUUGUUGAAUUUCCCUCCGAGGUUCUGAUGACUUAUGGAGGAUGUAGUCCCAAUUAGGUUGCAGGUUGGCGCAGUCAGUAGAUUCAUGAUACUUUUCCCUAUUUCCUUGUUUCACCGUUCUUCAUUUUUCCCUUUCCUGCUCUUGUUAGUGUACGCACCUGCCUCUGAUGCUCUGACUGACUGUUGUCUCUCAGCAAGAUGGGGGAUCAAUCGUGCUACCUAUGCAUUUCCUUGACCGACGAGCCAGAGGCUUUGAGCCCCCCACCCCCACCCCAACCUCAACUAGCUCUGAUGCGAACUGCUCUCUUGUGGGAAUUAUAUUUUGAUUGAAUUUACUACUUCAAGUCACAAAGUAAAGGUUGGAUUAAAUUGUCAAUCCCAUUGCUUUGCUAAAUGAACCAGCCUUUGGUUAGUGUUCUGAAAUCCUGUUGUCAGUCUCUCAUCUUAACCUGCUUAUUACUGAACUUCAUGCUUUUUUCUUUUUGCAGAUUUGUGCUUUUGAUGAUAAUGCUAGAUUAGCCAUAUGUUUUUGAUGGAUUAAUGUUCCAGUGCACAAUUGAUAUAAAAGUUGUAUGCAUAGGAGCCGGAUCGGAUGAUGGUGAUAGAUCACUGUAGAUGUGUGGUAGAUUAGGACUUUAGUGUUGCAGUAUUCAGUCUGUUCUCUUUGCAUUUUGUUCUGCUGCCAUGGAAUUUAAUUUCAAAUGUGGCAUAAUGGCAUCAAACAUAUACUAUACUAGGGCCAUGAAUAGUUUAGCAAAUAAUGAUUGUUCACCGCAUAGGUAAUUCAGUAGCUAAUGCUAGAGUAAGGGCCAUGAACAGUUUAGCAAAUAAAAAUUGUUCACCACAUAGGUAAUUCAGUACCUAAUGCUAGAGUAGAUAUAUUGUGCAGCAGGCCAGCUGGAAGGAUUGCUUGCUGGAGUUGCUUGAUAGCAGGAGAUCGCACGUUCUGGAGCCUGGAGGAGUUGCUUUUUUGCUGUAAUGUUUUUUUAGUUUAAUCUGCAGCUAGUACCAUUGAAUACUAGAUCAUAUGGCUUAUUUUGUACUUCUAUUAAGGACACUACAUUUUUUAACAUUAGGUGGCUUAUCACCCCCACUCAAUCUUUGCAUACGAAGUAUCUUUUGAGCUGAACUCUAGUCAUCUGCUCCAUUACACAUGGGAAUAUUUGCGACAGGUUUUUUAUGAUUCACUCAAUAUACAAGGUAGCUAGAUUUUUGCAUCUAUGCAUGUCAUUACUUGUGAGGAAGUAACAAAUUCCAAGAGUUCAGUUUUUUUUCACAUGUGACAUUAUCUGCGAAAAUGUUCUCUUGUUAUAUUGUUCCUAUUGCAGGUGGCAAUGACUAAGAUGAGGUCGCAAGGAAACUGCAAGAGUGGAUACACAAGCAUAGAUUGCAGAGCGAGCUCAGCAUGAUAUGUCUCUGACAACGAUGAUACUGUAUCAUUUAGGUGGACACAUUCAACAUUUUGUUUUCCUGAAACUUCAGUCUCCAAAUGGCAACGUGUACGGGUCAGAAGCUAGCUGAAAGAACGGCUACUCUAAUUUUCGUGUUGACACAUGGUAUAUUGGUAUUAUUUGUGAUCA